rnacentral:misc_RNA from 1 species
GGAAGCCAUCGAUCCUUCCUAUGGCUGGAAACAAGAGAAGAGUCCAACUCAUGCUUCUAUUGCAACUCUGGACGGGGGUGCUAACCCUUGCAGUACUUUCUCUGGAUGAAGGGGUACUAACUCUGAAACCUCAAGUCCAGCCACCGGUCGAUAUUCCCAAUCCCGACCCGCCGGUCAGAAGAGAUGUUUAUUAUAAUGGUAAAAUCUUUGAUAUUACCCACUUGAUCUAUCCUGGAAUGCCAAAAUGGGGUGUUCCGGAUGGGAUGGGCCAAGUGGUAACGGUGACUGAGAGCAUGAAAAGUGGUUCAGAUUGUUAUGUUUCUGAGAUGAAGCUUCCUUCCCACACUGGAACACAUGUUGAUGCACCUUCUCAUUUUUUUGAAGAAUACUAUGAAAAAGGGUAUGACACAAGUACUCUUAAUCUGAAGACUCUCAAUGGUCCGGCGCUGGUAGUUGAUGUUCCUAGGAAUAGUAACAUUACUGCUGAAGUAAUGCAGAACUUGCGAAUUCCCCAAGGAAUAGGUCGUGUUCUUUUCAGAACUUUAAACACUGAUAGGAAGCUUAUGCACCAAAGUGAGUUCCAUUCAGACUAUGUUGGGAUCAUGAAGGAUGGCGCAGAAUGGAUUGUAGAUAACACAAAUAUCAAGCUUGUUGGCAUUGAUUACUUGUCUAUUGCUUCCUACAACGAUGCCGUUCCAACGCAUCAAGCAUUAUUGAGAAGCAGAAAAAUUGUUGUUGUGGAGGGCCUAAACCUUGACAAGGUUACAGCAGGAAUAUAUGAUCUCCAUUGCUUGCCCAUAAGGGUGCUUGGUGCUGAGGGAACACCAACAAGAUGCAUUCUUAUGAGUUGAAAUUUGCAGGCCUGUGAUUCUAUGUGAAAGCGUAACCUGGACUUUGUGCCUUUGUUAUGGAAAUAAAUCAUGGACUUUGUGCUUUUACUAUAAAAAUAAAUUAUGGACUUUGAGCCUUUAUUAUCGAAUUGGGUUGAAUUGUUGAUCAACUCUGUGAUAAACAUGCAAAUCAACAAUAUUUUGUCCCUCUUACCUUAAUAAUAAUGAUAAUAAUAAUA